rnacentral:rRNA from 1 species
UACGGGGGGGGGCAAGCGUUGUUCGGAAUUAUUGGGCGUAAAGGGCUAGUAGGCGGCCAACUCAGUCGGAUGUGAAAUCCCCAGGCUCAACUUGGGAACUGCAUCCGAUACUGGAUGGCUUGAAUUCGGGGAGAGGGAUGCAGAAUUCCAGGUGUAGCGGUGAAAUGCGUAGAUAUCUGGAGGAAUACCGGUGGCGAAGGCGGCAUCCUGGACCGACAUUGACGCUGAGGAGCGAAAGCUAGGGGAGCAAACGGG